UCUGCUUUCACUUUCACCUGCUUUCUUUUCUCCAUAGAAUGCUUGCCAUUCUCUAAAAUCAUUUAUCCCUCCGUUGGCAUUUCGUGGUGGGUCCGUCAUCCUGACACUGGAGUGCAGCUGUCUUCUCUGUCUUGCUGUUCACCACUGCAACCUGGGUGCCAGGACCAAAGAGGGCUCAGUGAAUAGGCUCCUCAAUGAGUGACCUCAGGCAUGAGUAGGAAAUGGGAGCUGCUACCCAGAGUGAGUGACCUUUCAAAGAAAUUCAUCUGAGUUCAUCACUUUUCCACUGAAAAACCUCUAAUGGUUCCCAUGACUUCGAAGGGUAUCUGGUGUGGCCUUCAAGCCCUUCCAGCUGUUCCACAGGGACAUCUCAACUUCAGUUAUGCUACCCCACCCUCGGCUUCCUUCCCUCAGGAACAUGGAUCCCGGGACACCCUGUUACUUCCCUCAGGGACAGGAUUGUGGGGCCUGAGAGCUCACCAACAUGAAAGCUGUUCUGCUCAACCUGGAAAGAGCAUCUGGAACCAAUUCAUUGUGGUCACUUGAGCACAAGUGGAGUGAAAAAAAGCAAAGCAAUAACAAAAAAAAUACCUUUUACCUCGACCAUCAACCAACAUCAUCAUUUCAAGGAAGGACAUUUAGAUACCAAGUAUAUAAUCUCAGAAAAAAGAAGCUCCUUUCAGGGUUUCUUGAGAAGACAUCAGUGGCAGACCACACCCACUGGUUCUCAAAUCAUUCUCAAAGGAUUGCAGUUCAGACAAGGAAGUAACUUGUACAGCUUCCAGAUCUCCAAGCCCUUGGACUGGUGGCAUCAGCUGUGCCCUGGAUCUCAUUGGAGAAGAUUCAGUAACCCAAGACCCGUCUCUUUGCAAGAUCCCCAGGACUGAGGUGCAGAGGAGUGGAUGGAGUGGUAACAAUGGGAAGAUGGAAGAUGUUUGUGUGGCCAAUAUGGAACAUGCCAUGUUCAAGGAGCCAUGGGAAUUUUAAGUCAAAGAGAGGUAGCAUUGCUCUCUGAAUACUUCUAUGUGAAGAGUGGACAAGACAGCACCCCAGAAACAAUUGUUCUUACUCAAUGGCUGGCCUGGUGGAUCCUCCUUCAUCUCCUCUUUACUUUUGCCUCUGGCCCCACAAAGGGCUCCCCUGUGUCCCUCUGAAGUGAACCCAGGAGUUAGCAUGCACCGCGUGCUGACGUAGAGCAGCUGCUGCCUGCAGCUACCUGUGAUUCUGCCUAUUUGACAGAUGAAGAAACUGAGGAACAGAAUGGUGACUGGAGAAGCAGGAGAAAUGGAGAUGAGAGACUGAGGCAUUGAGGGAAGAAACAGCUCCAUUGUGGGAGCUUCACUGGGUCAUUGUCAGAGCCUGGAAUGUGGAGGGUUUGCUCCCAGGACCUGUUCUGGGCAGGAAGGUUUCCUCAGGAAGCAGCCAGGGCCCCCAGACACAGGUCCCCCUGGAAGCAUUCACUGAGUUUCUUCCAGAACCAGUGGUAACCGGAUUUAUGAGGUGCACAUUGCGGAGGAAGCAAGGUGGUGGCUGCCAAAGACCAAGCUCUCUCACUGACCUUUGCACCGACCUUUGCAUCCAUGAUGGGCCUUGAGGAAUGUCCAUCCUUGGAAAGUCUGUCCCUGCCCAGUUAUUGAUUUAACGUUUUCUCCAGCUUGCACACUUUGACCUUCACUAUCUGCUCACUCUACUAGCUCUUUGACCCUGUCCCCAGCUCACUCCAUCCCUCCAUGAGCAUGUUACACACUACUGUUCCCUAAGGAUCUGGCAUUGGCCUUCCUCAUAGGGACUCAGUCUCAAGCUGUCCUGAGUUCAGACACCUGGCAGUCUACUCUGGGGGGAAGACCUUGCUCUUGCACUCUUGUGCCUGCCUUUGCACACUCCUCUCCACUGGUCCAGGUAAGAGAUGCUCAAAACUCCUGGCUUCUGUCCUGUGGACACUGCUCCUGUAGCCUUCCCUGUAAGACAAAGACAAUUGGGACCAUCUGCUUGUGAAGCAAGAAGGUGCUAUCCCUUCCGGAAAUAGUCACCCAACAUACCUUCCUGGAUAUUUACUAUUUGCAGGUGCUGGUGCUAAGGCAUCUCUCUGAACUGGCCAGA